CCUGCCUGCUCAUUCUUUGCUGACCCGAGACCUCUCCCUCCGCCAUUCUUCGUCUUCGUUUUGUCCUUCCAAUUUUCUUCUUCAAUGGCAAAGGUUGAGGUGCUUCAUGAUCCGUGGGCUCCCAAAACUUGCUACUUCUAAUUGGCUGCAUCAUGAACUGAUAGGAAGCAAGAUAUUUUGAUUUAUGGUACCAAUCAUCGAUGUAAU
rnacentral:lncRNA from 1 species